GAAAUGCGAUACUUGGUGUGAAUUGCAGAAUCCCGCGAACCAUCGAGUCUUUGAACGCAAGUUGCGCCCGAAGCCAUUAGGCCGAGGGCACGCCUGCCUGGGUGUCACACAUCGUUGCCCUCCCGCAAACGUCGUCGCGGAGGGUGUGCGCUGGCUUCCCGCGGGCACCGUCUCGCGGUUGGUUGAAAACCGAGUUCGCGGUCGGGUCAGCCGCGGCGCAAUGGUGGACGAGCGACGCUCGAGACCAAUCACGUGCGAGCCGGUCAGUUCUGGACCCAUCGACGACCCUUUGCGUGCACGCACGCUCCCAACGAGACCUCAGGUCAGGCGGGGCUACCCGCUGAGUUUAA
rnacentral:misc_RNA from 1 species